rnacentral:rRNA from 1 species
UCUGGCUCAGGAUGAACGCUAGCUACAGGCUUAACACAUGCAAGGUCGAGGGGGCAGCAUGGUCUGUGCUUGCACAGUUGAUGGCGACCGGCGCACGGGUGAGUAACGCGUAUCCGAACCUUCCCCGCAGUAGGGCAUAGCCCGGCGAAAGUCGGAUUAAUACCCUAUGUUCUUCGUAGAUGACAUCUGAAACGAAGCAAAGGUUUACCGCUGUGGGAUGGGGAUGCGUCCGAUUAGGUAGUCGGCGGGGUAACGGCCCACCGAGCCUUCGAUCGGUAGGGGUUCUGAGAGGAAGGUCCCCCACACUGGUACUGAGACACGGACCAGACUCCUACGGGAGGCAGCAGUGAGGAAUAUUGGUCAAUGGGCGCGAGCCUGAACCAGCCAAGUAGCGUGCAAGGACGACGGCCCUAUGGGUUGUAAACUGCUUUUAUGCGGGGAUAAAGUGCAGCACGUGUGCUGUUUUGUAGGUACCGCAUGAAUAAGGACCGGCUAAUUCCGUGCCAGCCGCCGC